rnacentral:rRNA from 1 species
UACGGGGGGGGCAAGCGUUGUUCGGAAUUACUGGGCGUAAAGGGCGCGUAGGCGGACAGUUUAGUCAGAGGUGAAAGCCCAGGGCUCAACCUUGGAAUUGCCUUUGAUACUGGCUGUCUUGAGUUCGGGAGAGGUGAGUGGAAUGCCGAGUGUAGAGGUGAAAUUCGUAGAUAUUCGGCGGAACACCAGUGGCGAAGGCGACUCACUGGCCCGAGUACUGACGCUGAGGCGCGAAAGCGUGGGGAGCAAACAGGG